CGGACGGGUGAGUAACGCGUGGGCAACCUGCCUUGUACAGGGGGAUAACAGUUAGAAAUGACUGCUAAUACCGCAUAAGACCACAGCACCACAUGGUGCAGGGGUAAAAACUGAGGUGGUACAAGAUGGGCCCGCGUCUGAUUAGCUGGUUGGUGAGGUAACGGCUCACCAAGGCGACGAUUGGUAGCCGGACUGAGAGGUUGAACGGCCACAUUGGGACUGAGACACGGCCCAG
rnacentral:rRNA from 1 species